ACGAACGCUGGCGGCGUGCUUAACACAUGCAAGUCGCGCGGUAAGGCCUCUUCGGGGGUACACGAGCGGCGAACGGGUGAGUAACACGUGGGUGACCUGCCCUCAGCUCUGGGAUAAGCCUGGGAAACUGGGUCUAAUACCGGAUAUGACCACAUGUUGCAUGGUGUGUGGUGGAAAGUUUUUUCGGCUGGGGAUGGGCCCGCGGCCUAUCAGCUUGUUGGUGGGGUGAUGGCCUACCAAGGCGACGACGGGUAGCCGGCCUGAGAGGGCGACCGGCCACACUGGGACUGAGACACGGCCCAGACUCCUACGGGAGGCAGCAGUGGGGAAUAUUGCGCAAUGGGCGGAAGCCUGACGCAGCGACGCCGCGUGGGGGAUGACGGCCUUCGGGUUGUAAACCUCUUUCGACCGGGACGAAGCGUAAGUGACGGUACCGGUAGAAGAAGCACCGGCCAACUACGUG
rnacentral:rRNA from 1 species